rnacentral:rRNA from 1 species
UACGAAGGUCCCAAGCGUUAUCCGGAUUUAUUGGGUUUAAAGGGUGCGUAGGCGGCUUAUUAAGUCAGUGGUGAAAGCCCCAAGCUUAACUUGGGAAUUGCUAUUGAUACUGCUGUGCUUGAGGACUGGAGAGGAGACUGGAAUUUACGGUGUAGCAGUGAAAUGCGUAGAGAUCGUAAGGAAGACCAGUGGCGAAGGCGGGUCUCUGGACAGUUCCUGACACUGAGGCACGAAGGCCAGGGGAGCAAACGGG